rnacentral:rRNA from 1 species
CGCCCUUAGAGUUUGAUCAUGGCUCAGGACGAACGCUGGCGGCGUGCCUAAUACAUGCAAGUCGAACGCUGGAGCUUGCUCCAGAGUGGCGGACGGGUGAGUAACACGUGGGCAACCUGCCCAACAGAGGGGGAUAACACUUGGAAACAGGUGCUAAUACCGCAUAAUUUAUGUCCGCAUGGAAGAUAAUAAAAGACGUUCGUGUCACUGUUGGAUGGGCCCGCGUUGCAUUAGUUAGUUGGUGGGGUAAUGGCCUACCAAGACCGUGAUGCAUAGCCGACCUGAGAGGGUGAUCGGCCACACUGGGACUGAGACACGGCCCAGACUCCUACGGGAGGCAGCAGUAGGGAAUCUUCGGCAAUGGACGAAAGUCUGACCGAGCAACGCCGCGUGAGUGAAGAAGGUUUUCGGAUCGUAAAACUCUGUUGUUAGAGAAGAACAAGUGGGAGGUAAUUCCCACCUUGACGGUAUCUAACCAGAAAGCCACGGCUAACUACGUGCCAGCAGCCGCGGUAAUACGUAGGUGGCAAGCGUUGUCCGGAUUUAUUGGGCGUAAAGCGAGCGCAGUCGGUCUUUUAAGUCUGAUGUUGAAGCCCCCGGCU